GGUUGAAUGGCUGAGUCUAGGCAAUAAAUUGUAAAUUUAUUAACGAAUAAACAUUCUUCUACCA
rnacentral:tRNA from 1 species